UUAUCAGAUUUGUAAGUUGUUUAACGUUAUCAGUUUGCCAACAUGUUUCCGUUUAAUAUUUUUAAUGGUCAAUAUUUUCAAAUUCCAUUUGCAUUUUGGCUUAUUAUAUAUUUGAUAAUUGACUGUAACAGACAGUUAGUAUUGACAACUUAUGCUUUUGCUAUCACAGAGUGACUGAUAAUUUAGGCUAGGAAAUAAUUUGCUUUGCUUUUAAUUGUUUGCUUCUGAAUCUUUCAUUACCCACAGGUUUGCAUCUACCGUAUUGGGGUAACCGUGAAGUUAGCCAUUCCUGACAGCGCUGGACAAUCACACCCAGGGGUUGCUAAAGAUGUACAGAGCCAAAGCAAGACAGGGAAGGUGAAACAACUUGGAUGAACUUCUGGAACAACUGGAUGCCCAGACCACAGAUCUAACUACUUAUAGAAGGUCUUCUGUUCUUCGUGGUCUUCCACUGUACUUGAGAGAGCCAGCUUCAAUUUCAAAGACUAUUAAGGAUACUGAGGCACUGGGGCCACACACAAAGGCCAUGAAAAUGGGGAUCCUGGAAGUGACUGACAGUUCUACCAACUCAGGACCAUAUCCCACAGUGGUCGAUGUGGCUGUAGUACUGGAGGAGGAAGCUGUCAUGGACAAUCUGGGAGACUUCACAAAUGCCCUCAUGAUGCUUGUUUUGGCACUGGUUGAAUACUUGUGUAAUAUUUUACUUGAGCCUAACAGGCAAGUUCAUAUGUAUUUAAAUAAAUACAUAAAAUCUUCUUUAUCAAA